UACGUAGGGUCCGAGCGUUGUCCGGAAUUACUGGGCGUAAAGAGCUCGUAGGCGGUGUGUCGCGUCGGCCGUGAAAACCUGCAGCUUAACUGUGGGCUUGCGGUCGAUACGGGCAGGCUGGAGUUCGGUAGGGGAGACUGGAAUUCCUGGUGUAGCGGUGAAAUGCGCAGAUAUCAGGAGGAACACCGGUGGCGAAAGCGGCUCACUGGAUCUCUUCUGACGCUGAGGCACGAAAGCUAGGGUAGCAAACGGG
rnacentral:rRNA from 1 species